GGUUACGCCGCCUCGUUAAAGUCUGAUCUCUGCAGCUCUCAGAAAAUAAGCAAGACUGAUCCUGGUUAGUACUUAGACAGGAGACUGCAGGGAAUACCACUACGGCAAAAACU
rnacentral:rRNA from 1 species